GUGCUCACUUUGACAGCACAUAUACUGAAACUGGAAUGAUACAGAGAAGAUUAGCAUGGCCUCUGCGCAAGGAUGACAUGCAAAUUCACAAACCAUUCCGUAUUUUU